rnacentral:rRNA from 1 species
CAGUAGCCGCGGGAAUACGAAGGGGGCUAGCGUUGUCCGGAAUUAUUGGGCGUAAAGGGCUCGCAGGCGGUCUCUUAAGUCUGAUGUGGAAGCCCCCGGCUCAACCGGGGAGGGUCAUUGGAAACUGGGAAACUUGAGUGCAGAAGAGGAGAGUGGAAUUCCACGUGUAGCGGUGAAAUGCGUAGAGAUGUGGAGGAACACCAGUGGCGAAGGCGACUCUCUGGUCUGUAACUGACGCUGAGGAGCGAAAGCGUGGGGAGCGAACAGGAUUAGAUACCCCAGUAGUCCCUGUCUCUUAUAA